rnacentral:rRNA from 1 species
AUACGUAGGUGACAAGCGUUAUCCGGAUUUACUGGGCGUAAAGGGCGUGUAGGCGGUCUUGCAAGUCAGAAGUGAAAUUCCUGAGCUCAACUCGGGCGCUGCUUCUGAAACUGCAGGACUUGAGUGCUGGAGGGGAUAGCGGAAUUCCUAGUGGAGCGGUAAAAUGCGCAGAUAUUAGGAAGAACACCGGUGGCGAAGGCGGAUAUCUGGACAGUAAAGAAGACAGAGGCGCCAAAGCGUGGAGCGCAAACAGGAUUAGAUACCCUGGUAUUCCACGCCGUAAACGAUGAAUACUAGGUGUAGGGGGUAUCGACUCCCUCUGUGCCGCAGUUAACACAAUAAGUAUUCCGCCUGGGGAGUACGGCCGCAAGGUUGAAACUUAAAGGAAUUGACGGGG